UACGUAGGGUGCAGGCGUUAAUCGGAAUUACUGGGCGUAAAGCGUGCGCAGGCGGUUAUGCAGGACAGAUGUGAAAUCCCCGGGCUCAACCUGGGAACUGCAUUUGUGACUGCAUGGCUAGAGUGCGGCAGAGGGGGAUGGAAUUCCGCGUGUAGCAGUGAAAUGCGUAGAUAUGCGGAGGAACACCGAUGGCGAAGGCAAUCCCCUGGGCCUGCACUGACGCUCAUGCACGAAAGCGUGGGGAGCAAACAGG
rnacentral:rRNA from 1 species